GGGUUAGUAGGUUGGUCAUGCCUCUGGUAUGUACUGGUCUCACUGAUUCCUCCUUCCUGAUGAACCGUAAUGCCAUUAAUUUGGUGUUGCGGGGAAUUUGGACUGUUACUUUGAAAAAAUUAGAGUGUUCAAAGCAGGCAUUUGCUCGAAUACAUUAGCAUGGAAUAAUAGAAUAGGACC
rnacentral:rRNA from 1 species